GGUUAAGUGACUAAGCGUACACGGUGGAUGCCUUGGCAGUCAGAGGCGAUGAAGGACGUAGUAACUUGCGAUAAGCGUAGAUGAGGCAGUAACAGCCACUUGAGUCUACGAUUUCCGAAUGGGGAAACCCACUGGCAUAAGCCAGUAUCAUUGAGUGAAUACAUAGCUCAAUGAAGCGAACCGGGAGAACUGAAACAUCUAAGUACCCCGAGGAAAAGAAAUCAACCGAGAUUCCGAAAGUAGCGGCGAGCGAAAUUGGAUUAGCCCUUAAGCUUUACAUGUGUUAGACGAACGGUCUGGAAAGUCCGACGAUACAGGGUGAUAGUCCCGUAGUUGUAGACGCAUGUUCAGUGAAAUCGAGUAGGGCGGGACACGUGUUAUCCUGUCUGAAUAUGGGGGGACCAUCCUCCAAGGCUAAAUACUCCUGACUGACCGAUAGUGAACCAGUACCGUGAGGGAAAGGCGAAAAGAACCCCUGUGAGGGGAGUGAAAUAGAACCUGAAACCGUGUACGUACAAGCAGUAGGAGCACCUUCGUGGUGUGACUGCGUACCUUUUGUAUAAUGGGUCAGCGACUUAUAUUCAGUGGCAAGGUUAACCAUCUAGGGGAGCCGUAGGGAAACCGAGUCUUAACUGGGCGCCAUAGUCUCUGGAUAUAGACCCGAAACCGAGUGAUCUAGCCAUGGGCAGGUUGAAGGUUGAGUAACAUCAACUGGAGGACCGAACCGACUAAUGUUGAAAAAUUAGCGGAUGACUUGUGGCUAGGGGUGAAAGGCCAAUCAAACUCGGAGAUAGCUGGUUCUCCCCGAAAGCUAUUUAGGUAGCGCCUCGGACGAAUACUACUGGGGGUAGAGCACUGUUAAGGCUAGGGGGUCAUCCCGACUUACCAACCCUUUGCAAACUCCGAAUACCAGUAAGUACUAUCCGGGAGACACACGGCGGGUGCUAACGUCCGUCGUGGAGAGGGAAACAACCCAGACCGCCAGCUAAGGUCCCAAAUUACAGCUAAGUGGGAAACGAUGUGGGAAGGCUUAGACAGCUAGGAUGUUGGCUUAGAAGCAGCCAUCAUUUAAAGAAAGCGUAAUAGCUCACUAGUCGAGUCGGCCUGCGCGGAAGAUGUAACGGGGCUAAGUUGUAAACCGAAGCUGCGGCAAUGUUCUUUGAACAUUGGGUAGGGGAGCGUUCUGUAAGCCGUUGAAGGUGUGUUGUAAAGCAUGCUGGAGGUAUCAGAAGUGCGAAUGCUGACAUGAGUAACGACAAGGGGGGUGAAAAACCUCCCCGCCGGAAGACCAAGGGUUCCUGUCCAACGUUAAUCGGGGCAGGGUAAGUCGACCCCUAAGGCGAGGCCGAAAGGCGUAGUCGAUGGGAAACGGGUUAAUAUUCCCGUACUUCUUACAAUUGCGAUGGGGGGACGGAGAAGGCUAGGUGGGCCUGGCGACGGUUGUCCAGGUUCAAGUGCGUAGGCU
rnacentral:rRNA from 1 species